rnacentral:rRNA from 1 species
ACGGGAGGCAGCAGUGGGGAAUAUUGGACAAUGGGGGCAACCCUGAUCCAGCGACGCCGCGUGAGUGAAGAAGUAUUUCGGUAUGUAAAGCUCUAUCAGCAGGGACGAUAAUGACGGUACCUGACUAAGAAGCCCCGGCUAACUACGUGCCAGCAGCCGCGGUAAUACGUAGGAUGCAAGCGUUAUCCGGAUUUAUUGGGUUUAAAGGGUGCGUAGGCUGUGCCGCAAGUCAGUGGUGAAAGCCCGGGGCUUAACUCCGGAACUGCCAUUGAUACUGUGGUGCUGGAAUACGGAUGCCGUGGGAGGAAUGAGUAGUGUAGCGGUGAAAUGCAUAGAUAUUACUCAGAACACCGAUUGCGAAGGCAUCUCACGAAUCCGUCAUUGACGCUGAGGCACGAAAGCGUGGGGAUCAAACAGGAUUAGAUACCCUGGUA